rnacentral:tRNA from 1 species
UCCCUGGUGGCUCAGAUGGUAAAAGCGUAUGCCUGCAAUGCUGGAGAUCUGGGUUCGAUUCCUGGGUAGGGAA